rnacentral:rRNA from 1 species
UACGUAGGGUGCAAGCGUUGUCCGGAAUUAUUGGGCGUAAAGAGCUCGUAGGCGGUCUGUCGCGUCUGCUGUGAAAACUCAGGGCUUAACCCUGAGCUUGCAGUGGGUACGGGCAGACUAGAGUGCGGUAGGGGAGACUGGAAUUCCUGGUGUAGCGGUGAAAUGCGCAGAUAGUCAAGGAGGAACACCGGUGGCGGAAGGCGGGUCUCUGGGCCGUAA